AUUGAACGCUGGCGGCAGGCCUAACACAUGCAAGUCGAACGGUAACAGAAAGUAGCUUGCUACUUUGCUGACGAGUGGCGGACGGGUGAGUAAUGUCUGGGGAUCUGCCUGAUGGAGGGGGAUAACUACUGGAAACGGUAGCUAAUACCGCAUAAUGUCGUAAGACCAAAGCGGGGGACUUUCGGGCCUCGCACCAUCAGAUGAACCCAGAGGGGAUUAGCUAGUAGGUAGGGUAAUGGCUUACCUAGGCGACGAUCCCUAGCUGGUCUGAAAUGAUGACCAGCCACACUGGAACUGAGACACGGUCCAGACUCCUACGGGAGGCAGCAGUGGGGAAUAUUGCACAAUGGGCGCAAGCCUGAUGCAGCCAUGCCGCGUGUAUGAAGAAGGCCUUCGGGUUGUAAAGUACUUUCAGUCAGGAGGAAGGGUGUGAAAUUAAUACUUUCAUGCAUUGACGUUACUGACAGAAGAAGCACCGGCUAACUCCGUGCCAGCCGCCGCGGUAA
rnacentral:rRNA from 1 species